CCUCUAGUGUUCAUGUUGAACACACACACACACACACCGUGCUGCUGUCUGUAAGCACCAGAGGCAUGUAAACAAAAGGCUGAUUUCAUAGAUUUUGGCCUAUAGGUUUUAGGCUAAAUCUGCAGAAAUGGACAAGCGAGAUAAUAGAGUGGUCGGAGGUAAAAGAACAGCUGGAACAGAAAAAGAAAGGCUCCAGAGCCCUGGUUGAUUUUGAAGACAGAAUGAACAAAGGUAGAGGUUCAGUAGUGGAUUUGCAAAAGACUCAGAUCAGCUUUCUGGAUCUUGUGUGCUUGAACUCAUUUUUCUCAGCGAUGGAAGAAGGAACUGGAGAAAAACAGGGAGAAGGUACUUGGUGGAGGUGAAAAGAAAGAAAUAGACAAGGAAAAGAAAGAGGUAAGGGUUAAUGUAGAAAUCUGGGAUCUCAUUAAUAAAAUACAAGCACAGUCAGGUUUUAUCCUACAUUUUAUGGAUUUCAUCCCAAGUACUAUAUCAAAAGUGAUGAAUAAAUAGUGAUUUAUAAAAGGCAGAAGAUUGCUUGAAAAUAUUCCAGUAUGUGUUUCAACUCAAAUGCCAGUAAUCCAACAUCAGUUAUAAUAAAUUUGGCAAUCACGAUAUGUAAUUACUAUUGUUGUUAUUACUAUUAUUAUUAUUAUGGUUUGUUGUUCCAUUUAAAAUGUAUCUACAAUUUCCUGAAUUAUCUUUGUGUUUUCCAGAAAAAGAAGGAGAAGAAAAAGUCCAGUAGGGUGAGGAGGAGAGCUCUCCAUUUUCAUAUCUAAAGCAGCUGUAAAACAAAAAUGAAUUUGAUAAUGGAAAAGUGGAAUAUUGGUUUCAAAUAAUGUCCCAUACUGGAAGGUGGAAGGUGGUAUCCAUGCGGCCUGUUAUCCGUGGCUCGUCAGAUCAGUGUUAUGUCUAACAAAUUCUGCUUUUGUUGUGUUUGGUCAAUCUUCCUCCUCGUCCUCAUCGAGUUCUGAUUCCUUCUCCGGUUCCUCCUCAGACUCAGACUUGGAUGCAUUGCUAAAAUGACUGAAUAUUCUCUGUUCUUCUGCCUUUUCAGGAUGUUAAGAAAAAUGUGAAAAAGAAGAAAAAGAGGAAAAGAUCCUCUGCCCGGUGAGCGUCUGAUGACUCUGACACCGAGUCAGAGACUGAUAGCAGGGUAUUGUUUGUUUAUCUGCAAGGGAAAAAAUGACAUGGAUUAAAUAGAUUGUUCCUGCCGGUUAAAGAAGUAUCUGGCUUAACUGAAACAAUGUUGAUUUGCUUUUAUUAAUAUUCAUUUCCAGUGCUGAAAAGAAAUUAGCAUGAAAGCUGAAUUGCUGGUGACCAUGAAGAGAUUUGUCCCGAUGUCCUUUGUCUCUAGGAGUCAUCCAAGAAAAAGAAGAAGGAACUGGAUGGAGAGAAAGACAAGGACAAGUCUAAGAAGAAAAAGAAAAAGAAGCAGCAUAAGAAACACAGCAAAAAAAACAAAACAAAGAGGAAGACUUCCGGCUCUGAGUUUACUAAAGGGCUAGUGACAGGCAGCUGGAAUUCGGAGCUCUUUCUGGACUGUGGGGAAAAAACCCUUUAGAUAUUUGUCGAAGUGACUCUUAAAAGUGGGUGCUUUUUAGCACUGUGUGGCCUUACGGCUGACUUGGAUGAGAGGAUCAUGUGGUUGAGGAGCUGAAAGGGGUGUGGGUUUGUUUUUUAAGCAGAUGAUUCUCAGUCUGAAUAAAGGUCAUUUACACCA